rnacentral:pre_miRNA from 1 species
CAGGGCCUGGGUCUGGUUCAAGUAAUCCAGGAUAGGCUUGUUUUAGUGGGGGAAGCCUAUUCAGGACGACUUGGUUCAGAAACAAGGCCG